AUGCCGCCACUCUUCAAGGGUGAUUCUUUCUCAUUCCCGUCAGGACCCCGAAGACCACCGGACUCGACAUCAAGUGUGUACGUUUUGAAGCCGUCUUUGUGUCAGCAGCAUCCACGUUUAUUCCCCUUUCUGUCACUAAACCAGCUCGGAUCGACCAUGCAGCUGCCAGGUGGUGGCCACUUCCGGCUGCUCCACUCCGACCAGAUUCGUUGCCCGGGCAGACCGCACUGAGCGUCGUGCUCUGCAUCUGGCGACAAAUUUAAUAGAAAUUACAGUGGUUGAGUCUUUCCGUAAUGGCGGAGACCAGGCCGCUGACAAAAUGGAGGCCACAAAAUGGCGCCUGGCGAGUGAUUUAGAUUUAAGGGUGAUAGGAAGUAAGCGUGAUGAAUAAAAAGUUUUAAAUAAAAUAUGAGUGACUAAAUUAAA